rnacentral:rRNA from 1 species
GAUCAUGGCUCAGGAUGAACGCUAGCUACAGGCUUAACACAUGCAAGUCGAGGGGAAACGACAUCGAAAGCUUGCUUUUGAUGGGCGUCGACCGGCGCACGGGUGAGUAACGCGUAUCCAACCUGCCCACCACUUGGGGAUAACCUUGCGAAAGUAAGACUAAUACCCGAUGAUAUCCCUAGACGACAUCUGAAAGGGAUUAAAGAUUUAUCGGUGAUGGAUGGGGAUGCGUCUGAUUAGCUUGUUGGCGGGGUAACGGCCCACCAAGGCGACGAUCAGUAGGGGUUCUGAGAGGAAGGUCCCCCACAUUGGAACUGAGACACGGUCCAAACUCCUACGGGAGGCAGCAGUGAGGAAUAUUGGUCAAUGGGCGAGAGCCUGAACCAGCCAAGUAGCGUGCAGGACGACGGCCCUAUGGGUUGUAAACUGCUUUUAUAAGGGAAUAAAGUGAGUCUCGUGAGGCUUUUUGCAUGUACCUUAUGAAUAAGGACCGGCUAAUUCCGUG